rnacentral:lncRNA from 1 species
UCUUGUUGAGCUUAGUAGCUCAGCCUUGUUGUGGCUCCUGUUUUUCAGGUGAAGUUGCUGCUCCCGACCCCUCUUUUGCUGGCGCUUGGCCGCCCCAGCACCCGCCGGGCUGGACGGUCGAGUGGGAUCCUUCCUCGGACGGCGAGGAGAGGAAUCAGUGAUGUCCCGGUUGACCUCACCAGGGAUGUCCGACCCCGACGAUUGCUUCCGCUAGUGGUUUUACCCUUUUGCUGUUUUCCUUUAAACCUUGUAAAACUCUAAUGAUGGUUUUAUGAUCGAACAAAAAGGUUAAAUCGUUUAACUCGGUGGACUCGUUAUAUUCUCUGGAACCACUCACCUUCGUGUGAGUUUGCUAAACCCGAUCCUGUUUAAGUGGUAAAUUGGAUGAAAUCCGACGGCACUCCG